AUGGCUGCCGCCGCUGACACCGCCGCUACCGUCGCCGCCGUCGUCGGCUUGUCGGGUACCGCAGCGUUGCCGCUCGACGGACGCGUGGCCAUCGUGACCGGUGCGUCACGCGGCAUCGGGCGCGCCAUCGCGGCCCACCUCUCCUCCCUGGGUGCGAGUGUCGUCCUGGGCUACGCGUCCAGCGCGGCCGAGGCCGACGCGCUCGCCGUGGAGCUCCCGCGGGCCGUGGCCGUGAGGGCCGACGUGUCCGACGAGGCCAGCGUCCGGUCCCUCUUUGAUGCCGCCGAGUCAGCCUUUCGAUCAGGGCCCCACAUCCUUGUUGCCAACGCCGGCGUGAUCGACGACAAGUACCCGUCCCGCGCCGACACCACCACGGCGGACAUCGACCGUGCCUUCGUCGUGAAGACACGCGGCACGUUCCUCUGCCUCCGCGAGGCCGCCAACCGCAUGCCCCACGGCGGAGGCGGCCGGAUCGUGGCUCUGACGACGUCCGUGGUUGGGUCGCUCCGGACGGGGUACUCUGCUUACACGGCGUCCAAGGCGGCCGUGGAGGCCAUGGUGCGGACGAUGGCCAAGGAGCUCAAGGGCACGCGGAUCACGGCCAACUGCGUGGCGCCGGGGCCAACGGCCACGGACAUGUUCUUCGCCGGGAAGAGCGACGAGACCGUGAGGGAGACCGUGGAGACCAACCCGAUGGAGCGGCUCGGGGAGGUCGGCGACAUCGCGCCGGUGGUCGGGUUCCUCUGCACCGACGCCGCUGAGUGGAUCAACGGGCAGGUCAUUUGGGUCAAUGACGGGUACGUGUGA
rnacentral:rRNA from 1 species